AUGGUCAGAGCUCAGCAGUGGACGUUAGGAGACCCCAACACUGCAGGCCCCUUUCAUUUCUAUUUCAUUAUCAAAAUGAGACACCAGGGCACCUGUGUAAGAGGACCAAAACACCGCCGCUUCAUAACUUGCCAAAGAAUGGAAUGGGUUCUUCGACGAGGGAGAGAAGCUCUCGCCUUCUCACGGACAUCUCGCAGCAGAGGCCAGAGCGGAUUGCAGUUCCGUCGAAUCGAACGCUUGCACUAUUCCGUGACAGAGGAAAGCCGGGGAUGAGCCAUUGUGAUUCAUGCCCCUUUGUCAAUUCAGCCCUUUGAUUCUUUGACCUCAACGUCCACAUUAUUGCAGCUGCUUGACAACCCCUGAAACUGCAGCUGUUUUCUCCGCGCGUCCUAAGGUACAGAGGGUUCUGAACUCUUCCCCCAUUUCUGUGCUGCCACACCGACGAAUUUAUGGAGUUUUGGCUCUGGCAAGAUUUCACAAUGUGCCCGGGUGCUUCUUUGAGAUAAAAAUGGUCUGAUACUGUUUGCGGCACAUUGAGGGUUGAAGCUAAAAGACGUUUGGAGAUUGCCUCUCUUCUUUUUAUUUUUUUCCAAGCCUCUCGAAUCGUAUUUCAAGCGUUUACUACAGAUGCUCUUCAGAGGCCGCGGUGGGCGGGGGGUGAGAAUGGAUCUUUUUCCCCUUUCUCUUUAGAUGUCACUUAUUAAGGAACGUGGCAAAGGAAGAGAUUUAGGAGUAUGUGACCUUGGGGUAGAAUAAAAAUGGUUGAGG
rnacentral:lncRNA from 1 species